UAGACACCAAAGCAGACCAUGUUAAUCACCCCUAAACAAAGGACUAAACAAUAUUGAAACCUGCCCUAAUGUCUUCGGUUGGGGCGACCACGGAGAAAUAAAAAACCCCCGCGUGGAACAGGGAUACUAUCCCCACAAUCACGAGCUCCCGCUCUACUAAACAGAACCUCUGACCAAUCAGAUCCGGCAAUGCCGAUCAACGGACCAAGUUACCCUAGGGAUAACAGCGCAAUCCCCUUUUAGAGCCCAUAUCGACAAGGGGGUUUACGACCUCGAUGUUGGAUCAGGACAUCCUAAUGGUGCAGCCGCUAUUAAG
rnacentral:rRNA from 1 species